CCAGCAGGAAGCUAUUGGGCUGGGAUUUGCUCAGACAUAUUUUUAGGCCUUCAUUUCCAUAUUCUAUGGCCCUAAUAAUUGCUCCACUAACUUCAUGUAUCAUGGAUAAAAAUGGACCCAAAGAAGUGCCACCAAAACUAGCAAGCUGAUGAUUAUUUAAUGAGGUAAAAAGCAACAUAUGCAGUGAGUUCACAGAAGGUAUAUGUGCCUAAAAGGUUACAGCAGCAAAAAGAGAAAAAAGUUUUUUUUUGAGUAAAACUGAAAGACAUAGAAAUUGAAAAGCCCAAAGUACUUGGCAAACAAUCUAGAGAAGUGAAUUGGCCAUAUUAUAUGGCAGAGUGAGGAGUAUAGCUCAAGAUGUCACCAUUCAACCACUCUGGCCUCCCUUCCAGCUGAUGAGUUCCAAGAGGAUUUACUGAAAUGAAGUCCACAUUUGCCUAAGGCGGACAGCAAAGUUUCUGGCUGGUUUAUGAGCGACUGUGUGCACAGUGGGAUAGGGUCGCACACACCAUGCUUCUAUCCAGUCACAGUAUUGUGGUACAGGGCUUUGGACACUGGGUCUCCAUGGGCCCCAAACAACAGAGCAGCAUGACAGAGAAAACGAUGCUGUGAGACAGGAAUGGGCCAGGGUUGGUGAACUUUGCAUCAUAAAAGAACUGGAGUCAAGAACAACCAAGAAUUGUAAAAGUGUUUUAAAUUUAUCUUGUGGUUUUCAUCUUCUGGGGUUUUAGAAUUUGGGGACUUUGGCUUUAUGAUUUCAACAUGUAGGACUCUGGCAUUUGGUUUGUAUCUUUGGGGAUUAUUGAAUCUCAACCUACUCUAACGGUGGCCUCC